GUGACGCUGCCCCCCAGUGACAGAGAACAGCUACAACAUGUAGCAGCAGUCUGGAAGGCUCUUCAUCGGACCGACCAAGUCGUGUGGUCUGCAGUGGCGUCGAGCCGAUCCAAGUGGGUACUUUAAAAAAGAAAAAGGGUUUUGGUGUUCCUCCUUCCCGUCUUCCUCAGGGAGGCAACACUGAUUAACAUGCAGACUAUCCCACACUGGAGUCACCUCUGAUCACACGUGAGUGCCAAAUUAGAGCUCAGUCCAUUCACACACGUUCCUUCACUCUGACAACCAUCAUUACCACACCAUGGCUGGAUCACCGCUUUAGAAAUACACAGAGAUCAUUUUGAGGAGGCAAAUGCCCUGCAUCUGUGGACUCACAUCAGUCGGCCUGCAGAGGUCACUGCCCCGACCGUUUGUGCAGGUGCUUCGUGUCUGUUCAGGUUUUAGAUCUCACCCUGAGUCAUCACACCUGAAUCAGAUGAUGAGUUUGUUACCAGGCUUCUGGGGAACUUCAGGACAUGGAGGUCAUUUAGUCACACGUGUAAAACCUGCAGGAUGAUGACCUCUCUGACACCAUAUAACAUCUACCCGAGUGAAACACACAGAAAUGAACAGAUUUAACACUUAAAGCUAACAUGUUGUUAAUAUAACUGCUCUGCUUGUUUUUAAAUAAAUUGUAUUUAACUGAUGUGUGUGAAAAUGAAUGAUGACACCUCCGUGUGAAGAGAUUUGGAAGGACAUUCACAUCAUCAGUGAACUACAAGCUGCUUUAACACUACCUAUAAUUCAACAUUUACAUCAUGUUGAAUGUUUAUGUUUUUAUUCAUAUGUAUAUAUUAUUCUUGUUUAAUUUGUUCUCAUGCUGGCCGGAUUUGCAUUUAACACAAUGCGCCUGGUAUGGGGAACACUGCUGACCAUUAUCAUUUUAAUGAUUGUUUGUCUACAUGCUAACAAAUGAACUGCAUUCACCAGAACAUCAGAGUUUAGUGAAACACUUCAUGAGAUUGUUCUGAAACUAAAAUGAGUCCACACUGCCAGAGAGAACGGCCCAUCACUGUUUGGUUACAAAGAAAAGACAGUUUGGGCUAAGGUCCGUAAUUACAGCAUCAAAAAGUUGUAUAUAAAUGUGCAUUUCCGGUUUUACUUUGAAGGUCUGCGUCUUAUGUCUGUGUGUUCAGUUUUGCUCUCCCUAGCUGUGAAGGACCCGGCCUUCACAGUCUACAUGGGCCGGGUCCUUCAAAGACCGAGAAGGCCGAAAGUGCGAGGCUGUGAAAUGGGACGG